rnacentral:lncRNA from 1 species
CACUGAUCUUCUGACAGCAGCUGGCCAACUGGUGAGGACAAAGCGUGCACAGGACAUGCUUCAAGCUCUCCAGUCCACAGCCUUGUGAACCGAACCCCUUUGCUUCCUGCUGCAAAUGGGAGAAAAUGCAGCAUAUAAAGAAUUCUUCGAAGUCCUUUUCAUAGUAUGAACUUAAAGCCGCUCCCUUCCUUACAUCACCCCCUACUCAAUUGACUCAAAUACAGACACAAUCCCUAUGAAAUAUGUCCUAGC